rnacentral:rRNA from 1 species
UACGGAGGGUGCAAGCGUUAAUCGGAAUUACUGGGCGUAAAGCGCGCGUAGGCGGUUUUGUAAGUCAUAUGUGAAAUCCCCGGGCUCAACCUGGGAACUGCAUACGAUACUGCAAGUCUAGAGUGUGGUAGAGGGAAGCGGAAUUCCGGGUGUAGCGGUGAAAUGCGUAGAUAUCCGGAGGAACAUCAGUGGCGAGGGCGGCUUCCUGGACCAACACUGACGCUGAGGCGCGAAAGCGUGGGGAGCAAACAGGAUUAGAUACCCUGGUAGU